GUUUACGCUCGGGAUUUUCAGUUGUAUGCUGACUGCUGAGUUAAUGAGUACAACGUUGACGGUGCUAGUUUGUGCAUUAGAGCUAAAUGUCAGUAAUCUACGUGAGACGAUUGACACCAUGGCUGAAAAGAUCAACAGGAACUGUAUUCCUUUGAGAUCUCCUCAGGCAGCAUAGAAAAACAUCAAGAUUUUAUUCACAACACUUAAGGAGUUGAAAGAACAAUGGAUAUUGUAAUCUCUUUAUAACCCAAUCAACUAAUCGAAAAAGCAUUGGCGAUGGCGCUGGACAGUGACGAAACUAAAUCAAUAACGAUAUCGAACGAGGUACUUCCACGUCUAAACUAUUGACAUCCUUGUUGGCUUUCAGCUCUCAGAGUCUUGGAGUGCAUCAUCGAGUCAGCAGAUAUUAACCAGAUUCAGGGAAGAAAAGUGAUCAUUGGAGUGAGUGACAUUUAUCUGGUAGGUGAGUUUUAGACGAAGAAUGAAAUUUACCAUGUAGCCCAGCUCACGGCUUUCAAUCUUCAAGUUUGUUGAAUGUUGCAGUAACAAUAAAACAUGACCACAACUUGUGAGUGUACUGAAACGACUUGAAAUGAGCAAAUUGUGCUUGAUGACAUCAGCCACUAUGCACAUGCUAUUCAUGUCAUAUCAGGGCCCUCGAUUUUUUAUAUUAUCCUUCCGAAAUUAAAACCGAGUUGAUCACAAGGUACUUGAAAAAGACAACACGGCAGAUAAAAAUAUCAUGCGUCACCUGAAAUUAUAUACAUUUAGAAGAAGAUAUUCCAUUUAUAUUAAAGUUAACACACGUUCCUGAAGUUAACUGAAUAUGAUAAUAUACAUACUAAUAAUCAGCGAAGUCACUGAUGAUCUCAUUUAAAUGCGAGUUACUUUUCUCUCCGUGUAUUUUUGUUAGUAUAUAACUUCAUCCACUGAAGAUAUCAUUAGAGCUUUUCUGAUUGUUAUUGCCUUAAAAUUUGAAGUAUUUUUCUUUUAACAUAAGAUCCAAAAUAAGAUUAGUUCA